CAGUGCACAGUCAGAGGAGAGUGGGAAGAUGGCGCCCAGGGGCGGACAGACAGCAAUUGCCUGGAAAAGAAAAGGAAGAAAAAAGGAAGAUGGUGCCCGCCAGCCAGAGCACAAAGACGGCCUCUGCUGACUGGAAGGAAGCAGAAAGUGGGUGUGUAGAUUGUGCCCAGAAGAAAAAAAGAAUAGAAGAUGGUGCCCACGGACACAGGGAGAUAUGAAGAUGGUGGCCACCAGCAGCAGGUUGGCUGUGGACUCCUGGGAGGCCUGAGCCUCUGGCUGGGCUUUAAGAGUGGAUGAGCUUCCUUCACAGCAAGUUUGCCGCCUCUGGAUGUGCAACCUCUUUCUGGGCCCGAAGGCAGUGUUUUCGCACAAGCUGGCUUCUCUGAACAGGCUGUAUGAUCACCAUUUCACGGUUAUUCAGAGCAUCUUUAAGAAUGUCUAUGAGUACUAUGAGGCUUCCCUGGUGGUUCAGAUGGUAAAUAAUCUGCCUAGAAUGCAGGAGACCUGUGUUCCAUCCCUGGGUCAGAAAGAUUCCCUGGAGAAAGGAAUGACUACCCACUUCAGUAUCCUUGCCUGAAAAAUUCCAUGGACAGAAGAGCCUGGCAGACUAGAGUCCUUGGGGUCACAGAAUCAGACUUGACUGGGGCCAAGGAAAGAAGAUAUUGAGCAAACUGCUGCUCUGGAGGUGGUCCCAGGGUUCCGGAAGAAGAGAGAAAGGACCUAAGAAAAUAUUUGAAGAGAUAAGGCUGAAAACUUCCCUCACCAGGGAAAGGAAGUAGUCAACCAAGCCCAGGAAGUACAGAAAGUCCCAGCACUGGCUUGGAAACUGUGAGAUUUGACAUGAAUUCUUUGAUGGAAGAGAUCCAGUUGCAUUGUGAUAGCAACCAGAUCAUUUGGAAUGCCCCAAAAAAAGCUGAACUUGAUGAAAGAAGAAGAGGAAGAGAUGGAGUCCUGCAGGCUGGAAAUAGUAGAUCAGGAGACAGCAUGCCAGGAUUGCAAAAACAGUUUAUAGCUACAAAGGCCAUUUUGCUCAAGGAGUAUAGAAGGAAAAAAUGAAGCAAAAACAAAAAAAUU
ensembl:lncRNA